rnacentral:rRNA from 1 species
GAUGAACGCUGGCGGCGUGCUUAACACAUGCAAGUCGAACGGUGAAGCAGGAGCUUGCUCUUGUGGAUCAGUGGCGAACGGGUGAGUAACACGUGAGCAACCUGCCCCUGACUCUGGGCUAAGCGCUGGAAACGGCGUCUAAUACUGGAUAUGUGAUGUGACCGCAUGGUCUGCAUCUGGAAAGAAGUUCGGUUGGGGAUGGGCUCGCGGCCUCUCAGCUAGUUGGUGAGGUAAUGGCUCACCCAGGCGUCGUCGGGUAGCCGGCCUGAGAGGGUGCCCGGCCACCCUGGGACGGAGACACGGCCCAGACUCCUACGGGAGGCAGCACUGGGGAAUGAGGCACAAUGGGCGUACGCCUGAUGCAGGAACGCCGCGUAAGGGAUGACGGCCUACGGGUUGUAACCCGUUUUUGGCAGGGAAUAAGAGAAAGUGAAGGUACCUGCAGAAAAAGCACCGGCUACCUACGUGCCAGCAGCCGCCGUAA